CCAUUUAUUCCACUUGGAUCUCCCACCUCUAGGUCAAGGAGAGCCUCUGGAUGACUAUGUGAAUACCCAGGGGGCUUCACUGUUCAGUGUCACUAAGAAGCAGCUGGGAGCAGGAAGUAUAGAAGAAUGUGCAGCAAAAUGUGAGGAGGACGAAGAAUUCACCUGCAGGGCAUUCCAAUAUCACAGUAAAGAGCAACAAUGUGUGAUAAUGGCUGAAAACAGGAAGUCCUCCAUAAUCAUUAGGAUGAGAGAUGUAGUUUUAUUUGAAAAGAAAGGUGAGUACAUUUUCUUCCUCCUCCUCCUACUGUCCUCCCCAUCCUCCCACUCUUCCUCUUUCUCUAUUCUAUCUUUAAUUUAUAAGACCAGAGGAGGAAGGCACUAUCGUGUUAUAAAACUGAAUUCUGAGUUAGGACAGGAUUUGAUUACUAACUAACCAUGUCAGCUUGAGUGUAUUACUUCACCUCUUAGAUUUAAUUUUUUUUGUUCAAAAGAUGAAAGGAUUAGAUUUACAAAAUCACUUCUACCUCUAUGACCCUGAAAAUAAGAUUUUUAAAAUAUUAUUUUAUAUUUAACAAGGAGAUGGGAAGUCUAAGCAUUCCUUUUGGUCUUGGCUUCUUAUUCUGCAGGGUGACCAUGGUCCUUGGGCCCUAACAUCUGGAUGAAGCCUUGUAAAACAGAAAUACUGAGGUGUUUUAAUCCUCAGAAACAUUUAGAUUGGGACACAAAUCUUAUUUUUACUCUUAAAUUUUUCACAUUUUGGGGGACAUGGUCUAUAUUUUUCUCAGA
rnacentral:lncRNA from 1 species